UAUAAAUAGUAGCCUCUGGUCAAAAAAUAAGACUUUCCAUAGAUAACAUUGCUUUUAUGCAAGAUAUCGAUUCUAUUCCUCUUUCUUCGAUGAACCCAUACCAAUUCGUUUGACAAACCCACACCAAUUCAAAAAAGAAUCCAAAGAAAGAAAAGCCUUUGAGAGGCAAAACUCUCCCAAAGUUCGCCCUAGCCGCCACAAAUCUCUUUUUCUCCGCUUUCUCUCUCCGGCGGUUGUUUCUUGCCGGAGAGGGUCCUUCUUCUCAUUUUUCUCUUUCGUGCUUCAAUUCUGGCUCUGGGCUGAUGUAAUUCUUAGGUGGAUGUCCCAUUUCUUCUCUCUUGCGAUGCGGUGCCAUGGACAAGCGGCGGAGCUGAGGCGGAUCAAUGGUUGGGACACGUAACUGAAGCUUCUCGAUGUGUUCACGAUCCAGUGAGGUGCCUGCUAUAGAACGGCGGAGCUAAGCUCGGAAGAGUUCACGGAGGGAAGAUCUUAGAUCUAGAUCUGCGACAGGAUUAUGUUUCGUGGGUUUCAAUAGCUUGUGUCGAGGUGUGUUGGCGGGGAUAAGCGGCAGAGCUGAAGCAGAUCGAUGGUUCGGAGACGCAAACAAAGCUUCUCGACGUGUUCAUGAUCUAGUGAGGUGCCUGCUAUAGGACUGUGAAGCUUUGCUUGGAGGAGAUCAUGUUGUGAAGAUUUCUUAGCAGGAGAGAUCAGCUUUGUGGCUUCGGAGGUUGCAUCGCGUGUGGAGGGGAUGGUUUUGCGGCGGAUUUCUUGAACGGUGAUCAGGCCGGCCCAAAGUGAUUUGACGCCUAAAGCGUAGGAUAAAAAUGAUGCCCUUAAUCAAAUUUUUUUUUGCAGCAUAUUUUUGAAUAUUUAAUUAAAAUAAUAUAAAAUAUCAUUGAAACAUAAUUUGUUAUGUGUUUAAGCUUAAGAUCGAUUUUUUUAAAACUCAGAAUCGAUUUUUUGAAGUCCAGAAUCGAUUUUUUGAAGCCCAAAUCGAUUUUUUGAAGUCAAAAUCAAUUUUUUGAAGCCUAAAAUUGAUUUUUUGAAGCCCAAAAUCGAUUUUAUAAACAAAAAUCGAAUUUUUUUUUAAUAUUUGAUAGAGAUAAUGAUUCUUAUUUCUAAGUAAUUUUUUUUUCCCAUUUUUUGGUCUUGAUCGAUGUGGGAUAAAUGUUUUUAAACACACUUGUAAAAAAAUUUUCAGACUUUUUUUGCUACCCCCAAAAUUAGAGUUUUCUGGGCUGCUCUAAAGCCUUUGCUUCAAGGACCUUAGUUGUGGGCCGGCCCUGACGGUGAUGAUCCAGUGAGACGUGGUGGCUGCUAGAGGACGGCGGAGCUAAUCUCGGAGUUUUCCCUGUGAUGGUUUUUGCCGGGUGAUUCCCUUCACUGGAGAGAGACUGGUUGACGCUGGAGAGUCGGUUUGCAAGGGUAGGAAGAAGGUUGAUGUCGGUGGCUGAAGCUUGAGGACGACUUCUCACGGCGUUGUCUUCUCCAUUGCCCAAGGGUUCUUGGUUAUCCAGUUUUUUUCCAUUUUUCAAUUUUCGUAAACCAGUGCCGGUUAUGCCCGGUUUGGGUUGGGUAAGUUUUGCUUUUUUUUUUUUUUUUAAAAGUAACCUUUUUUCUUUAUUAAUGAAAACGCUUUAACAAAAAAAACAAAAAAAGCCAAACCCACACCAAUUCCACAUUAGAUAAAGUAAAAAGGAAACUGUUUUGCAUCACGAACCAACUUAUUCAGACUAUAAUCCAGUAAUCUGAAUCUCCAUAAUCGAGAUUUCCAAAAAAAUAAACCAAAAAAUCAAAGCUUCUAAUCAAAUCGACCAAUUAACUACAAAAAAAAAUAAAAAAAUCUGAUCGACCAAAAAAUUUAAUCAAAAGAAAUUUGGAGUGAAACUCAUUGGAUUGAAUUGGAUAGAAAGAAAUCUGACUGAAAUCAAUUGAAUCCAAUUAAUGAUGAAGGCAUGAAGCUUGAACCCAUGAAUGGAAUCUCGAACAAGUGGGAGAGAAAACGUGGAGGAAGAUCAUCAAAACAGCAUAACAGAGGAAAAUAAAUGUGAGGAAGAUGAGAAUUUUCAGGCGGGAUUAAGGUUGGCAGUUAGGCAACUCUGGUCAUGCACAUUUUGUGACUUGUAGGUUUGUUUAUAAAAAAUAAAUUAGUUGAAGGUUUGGACUAUAAACUCUUUAACUUGGAAACAACUUUGAUAUUUGAAUGUUUUUUUAAUGGUUAUUUUUUGUUGUUGUUUACAUUACUUUUGUAGUUUUAUAGAAACACAUUAUCCUUUUCGU
rnacentral:lncRNA from 1 species